ensembl:lncRNA
GUUUAGGUGUUUUGGCGGGUCUGAAGGGUUAUGGUGAUAUUGAGGCUGAUUGUCCUGAUUGGUUCCUGCUGAGAACCAUAACUGCAUGUUCCUCCUGGCCUUGUUAAGUGGACUGAGCCAUUCUUUUAGAAUCACAGCUAAUUGUUAGACCUAUAUAUCCAUGCAUCAAAGGAUUCACACUAUGGAUACCCUCAUGGAAUUCCCAUCUGUGUUGGCAUCAAGUGUUACAGCCUGACAGCAGGGUGAUGGGUUGCCAACCUACCUGCCGUCAUUAUCACGAAACAUUAUUUAUUCAUUGGAUCUUAAUCUGGACCCAUGUCCACAGACUUGUGCUUUGGAAGGCGCAUGGACCAGGCUUUGUUUACCUCUGCUGCCGGGCCUCCUCCCUCUGACGUGCUCCCGCGUGGCAUGAACAUGCACAACUGACGCUUAGUUGGAAAAUUGGCCGCCCGCAUUUACAUAAUGAGAGCAUUAGUGCAUUGAGACAACGAGGUUGCAUCUAAUUCCAUCCCGAUAAUCGCUCCUGUGCUUUCGACACACAAUUCAUACGAGGAUGACAGAGACAAACAUGAAUUAUUGAAGGCGCUGUGAUAAUAAUAAUUAUUAUUUAAAUUAGCUGACAAUACUCAAGGCUUGCUUGGUUUAAGCUAGUAGCUUGUAGUAUACUCCCCAAUCCCAAGACAACCGGCAAGGGCCAAGUUGGCAGGUGUAGCCACAUCAAAAUCAAGGAACCAGGAAAGUUUUCAGUGCCACUGAUUUUUGUGAGAGUGACACAUAAAGAAUAAGGUGUUUUUAUUAAUAAAAUACUCUCCGCAAGGACAGGGACAUGGCGCAAGGACUGAGUGUAGCGCUCAAACUGCAGUGGCUUUUCUGUUGCUACCCUGCCAGGGUUGCUAGCUGCCAGGGUAGCAACAUGGCAGCUUGGAUUAAAACCCAGACUUCAUCUGGAGCCCUUGCUCCAGAUGAAGUCUUGAGAAUGAGUGUGUGUAUCAGUUGUUUUGAUUAGAUGUUACUUAGCUGUUUUCAUCAAGAGUCAUUAUUUUAAAAGCUAUUCCUAAAAACAUUUAAAAUUUUCAGGUUCUCCCAAGGUUUACAAAAGUGUGAAAUGGAGGCUUAAUUGCCCACAGCCAGAAGCAAAAUAAUACAAAACAUAUUUUGAAAUUCCAUGGAAAAUACGGCUCGUAAUAUAACACAUGCUUGUAUUAAAAGUUCUCAAGAAAACAUUUUGGUGGAAUUCUAGUAACCAUGAUUAUGUGAGUAUGGACCAGUUCUCGAUAACUUAAAUCGCGCUGAGACGGAAACUUACUCUGGAGUCAAAGCUUAGAGAUCAAAGCUGCCAAAGGGCUUUUCCUAACUGAGCACCUCAUAAGACAUAGCACCACAGAAAAGGUAACAUAUCUACUCUCAAGAUAUACCCGGAGGGGGCUGUCUGUGUGAACGCACAUACAGAAUCUGCCCCUCCGUAGUUUACCCAGAGUUUACCCGACCAGCACCCUCGUGUGAAGUCGGGAGAAUCUGAGAGCCGGAGAAUAAACAACGAGCAAAGGGGCGUGUAGCUGACGCGUGGAUGAUGUUUCCAUCCUGCGACUGGCAUGAAACCAGGAGCACGGAGUGAGGCUGCCUCACACCUUUCUCUUCUCACCCGUAUUUUGUUCCAACUACUUUCUGCUUUCCCAUCAUCUUUUGAUAUCGUGGAUACGUCUAAAUAACUGCAAUUCUUAAUCAUUUAUGUGUUAUUAUAUGCAUUUAUGUGUCGACAAAACGCUGCGACUGCUGCUGCAUACUUUUUGCAUCACGUCCUGCUUCCUCCAGGCGCCAGCCCUCACCUUAAGUAUCCAGCGUAUCUGCGAGACGCAU